rnacentral:rRNA from 1 species
UACGUAGGGGGGCAAGCGUUGUCCGGAAUCAUUGGGCGUAAAGCGCGUGUAGGCGGUUCGGUAAGUCUGCUGUGAAAGUCCAGGGCUCAACCCUGGGAUGCCGGUGGAUACUGUCGGACUAGAGUACGGAAGAGGCGAGUGGAAUUCCCGGUGUAGCGGUGAAAUGCGCAGAUAUCGGGAGGAACACCAAUUGCGAAGGCAGCUCGCUGGGACGUCACUGACGCUGAGACGCGAAAAGCGUGGGGAGCAAACAGGG